rnacentral:lncRNA from 1 species
GACAACAUUUACAUCGUUAGUGUUGUUCAGAAGACCAACUUCCGCAGAGAGCAUCAAGCAAUCCUACUCCUGGGCAUUUCUCCAAGGGAAAUGAACUGGCUAUCUUGAAGAGAUAUCUGCACCCUGUGUUCGUUGUAGCAUUGUUCACAAUGGCCAAGAUGUGGAAACAACAUAAACGUCCAUCGAUGGGAAGAUUAGCUCUGAGCUAACUGCUGCCAAUGCUCCUCUUUUUGCUGAGGAAGACUGGCCCUGACCUAAUAUCCGUGCCCAUCUUCCUCUACUUUAUACGUGGGACGCCUACCACAGCAUGGUGUGCCAAGCGAUGCCAUGUCCGCACCUGGGAUCUGAACUGGUGGUUUGAGAAGGCCUGGCGUGGCACAACUGGGUUGGAGUGGAUCCGGGCUCCAGGACACCAGGAGGAGUACUCUGGAAUGAAGAGUCGACGACAGAGGACGUCCAACUUCCCAGAUCAACUGGCUACAUGUUGUGGCAUGUGGGACGUCGCCCCAGCAUGGCCUGAUGAGCAGUGCCAUGUCCGCACCCAGGAUCGGACGGAACCAGUGAAACCCGGAGCCACCGAAGUGGAGGGCGUGAACUCAACUACUCAGCCGUGGGCCAGCCCCUCUGAUCAAUUUUAAGUUAACAUUUGUGUAUUUGUGGGGUAAGGGUGUAACUUCACAUACAUAUUUUGCAUGUGAAUAUCCAAUUGUUCUAGCAUCAUUUGUUAAUGAAAAUAUUACCGAAACCAAAGUGGGUUCCCUCCUGGCGAGUUAAAUCAGACUCUCCACCGGAAGUAAGUUGUCUCACAAAGUAAAGUAUAUUUGCAGGAA